GACGAACGCUGGCGGCGUGCCUAAUACAUGCAAGUCGAGCGAGCGGCGGACGGGUGAGGAACACGUAAGGAACCGACCGAAAAGCGGGGGACAACAUCCGGAAACGGGUGGUAAUACCGCAUACUUGUCGAUGGCCUAGGGGUGCAUUAGCUGGUUGGUGGGGUAACGGCCUACCAAGGGAAUGAUGCAUAGCCGCCCUGAGAGGGUAAUCGGCCACAUUGGGACUGAGACACGGCCCAAACUCCUACGGGAGGCAGCAGUAGGGAAUCUUCCGCAAUUGGCGCAAGCCUGACGGAGCAACGCCGCGUGAGUGAAGAAGGUUUUCGGAUCGUAAAGCUCUGUUGUAAGAGAAGCGGUAUCUUACCAGAAAGCCACGGCUAACUACGUGCCAGCAGCCGCGGUAAUUC
rnacentral:rRNA from 1 species